rnacentral:piRNA from 2 species
ACCGAAAGGUUGGUGGUUCGAGC